rnacentral:rRNA from 1 species
UUUAUGGAGAGUUUGAUCCUGGCUCAGGACGAACGCUGGCGGCGUGCCUAAUACAUGCAAGUCGAGCGGAGUCUUACACUUUCUUCGGAAAGUGUUUGGCUUAGCGGCGGACGGGUGAGUAACACGUAGGUAACCUGCCCAUAAGACUGGGAUAACCCACGGAAACGUGAGCUAAUACCAGAUAGGCAUCUUCCUCGCAUGAGGGAGAUGAGAAAGACGGUUUCGGCUGUCACUUAUGGAUGGACCUGCGGCGCAUUAGCUAGUUGGUGAGGUAACGGCUCACCAAGGCGACGAUGCGUAGCCGACCUGAGAGGGUGAUCGGCCACACUGGGACUGAGACACGGCCCAGACUCCUACGG